rnacentral:rRNA from 1 species
ACAUGCAGAGAACUUUCCAGAGAUGGAUUGGUGCCUUCGGGAACUCUGACACAGGUGCUGCAUGGCUGUCCUCAGCUCGUGUCGUGAGAUGUUGGGUUAAGUCCGUAACGAGCGCAACCCUUGUCCUUAGUUACCAGCACGUUAUGGUGGGCACUCUAAGGAGACUGCCGGUGACAAACCGGAGGAAGGUGGGGAUGACGUCAAGUCAUCAUGGCCCUUACGGCCUGGGCUACACACGUGCUACAAUGGUCGGUACAAAGGGUUGCCAAGCCGCGAGGUGGAGCUAAUCCCAUAAAACCGAUCGUAGUCCGGAUCGCAGUCUGCAACUCGACUGCGUGAAGUCGGAAUCGCUAGUAAUCGUGAAUCAGAAUGUCACGGUGAAUACGUUCCCGGGCCUU